rnacentral:rRNA from 1 species
GUGGGGAAUAUUGGACAAUGGGCGCAAGCCUGAUCCAGCAAUGCCGCGUGGGUGAAGAAGGUCUUCGGAUCGUAAAGCCCUUUCGACAGGGACGAUGAUGACGGUACCUGUAGAAGAAGCCCCGGCUAACUUCGUGCCAGCAGCCGCGGUAAUACGAAGGGGGCUAGCGUUACUCGGAAUUACUGGGCGUAAAGGGCGCGUAGGCGGCUCUGUUAGUCAGGCGUGAAAUUCCUGGGCGUAACCUGGGGGCUGCGCUUGAUACUGCAGGGCUUGAGGCCGAGAGAGGGUGGUGGAAUUCCCAGUGUAGAGGUGAAAUUCGUAGAUAUUGGGAAGAACACCGGUGGCGAAGGCGACCACCUGGCUCGGUUCUGACGCUGAGGCGCGACAGCGUGGGUAGCAAACAGGAUUAGAAACCCGAGUAGUCC